CAUUGUUGAUGACAAGAUAACAAAACAAGAUGCAAACAUUAUUAAAAUCAAAGUAAACAAAGAUAAUGGAGAAUAAACUCUGAUUGAUUUGACAGUCUCGCGAAAUUUGAUUGGAAUGUCUUCCUCCAAUCCUUAUAUUUGCUUCUUCGUAAGUUACUUCUCAAGGUGGCCGACCAAGAGAGUACCUUCUUAAGGAUUUGUUGGCUAAGGGAAAGGGAAAAUAUGGAUGCUUAUGCAUGGAAAGAAAGAAAGAAAAUGGGAGAAUGAAAUGAGAGUGAGAGAUGA
rnacentral:lncRNA from 1 species